UACGAAGGGGGCUAGCGUUGCUCGGAAUUACUGGGCGUAAAGGGCGCGUAGGCGGAUACUUAAGUUAGAGGUGAAAGCCCAGGGCUCAACCCUGGAAUUGCCUUUGAUACUGGGUAUCUUGAGUUCGGGAGAGGUGAGUGGAACUCCGAGUGUAGAGGUGAAAUUCGUAGAUAUUGGGAAGAACACCGGUGGCGAAGGCGGCUCUCUGGACCGACACUGACGCUGAGGCGCGAAAGCGUGGGGAGCAAACAGG
rnacentral:rRNA from 1 species